AAAAGUUGAACAACGAAAAUUGAAGAACCAGCGAAAACUCAGUUCAUGCAUCUGAAAACCGCCAUGGAUGAUAGCUUCUCUCUCCUCGAAAACUCUUUGAUUUUGUAGAUCUAAUUUCUGAUGAAGAAGACGAAUAGAACCAACCACCAGUGCGGACUGUUGUCGAUGGAUUACCAGCGAGAGAGUGAAAAAAUAUGCGGGAUCUGGGUUGUUUUCUCGCCGGCGGAAUUUUUUUUGUUUCAAGUUUUGUUGCCGGCGUCCUCGAAGACGGUAGCGAACUCAAAAUGAAGAUGAAGCAUUUUGUUUUUUGUAAUUUCUGUAACUAUGUCAUUGAACUUUUUUUCCUUUUGUUGAUUUGCUUAUUUUUAUUUUCUGUGUUAGAUCUAGAAUAUUUGCGAACUUUCCGGCGGUUACUGGUUUUUUAUGGUUGUUUGAUGGUGAACUUUUCUUUUUGAAACACAGAAUUUGUGCGUAUUUUGUAUAAUUUGUACAAGUUUCUCAUUUGCGUAAUAUAAUUCUACUUUGUUUAA